CGUGGUGGAGGAGGAGUUUGAGCUGGUGGCAGCCAAUGGGAAAUCAGAAAUCACAACAACAACAACAACAACAACAACAACCAAACAGCCACAGUACAUCACCGUGGCAGUGCCGUUGGGUAAGGCUGGCAUGCUGAGCGAGUCAGGAAUCAGAGGCAGCAGAGGUUGCACAGCUGGCAUAGAGGUCAGAGAGGUCAUGGAGGUCACGGUGGAGCCGACGGGCAUCGGGGUCAGCAUGGGCAUCGUUGGCAUGAUAGAUAGCGCUGAAUCAAACUCUGAAUCACAACUCCGGGAAUACUCGCUGUUCGAAUCAUUUCAACAACGACACGACUGCUCCUGACACCGUGAAGCCAGAGACAGGAAGUGACGUCACUGCUUCAACUAAUCAGUUUAUUGUCGAGCGUGCGGUGCAGACCGAACCCCAGAGCUUCGACACUGGCCCGAGUGUCCUGAACACGCCGUGCGUGAGUAAACACGGUUUCUGAUGCACGGCUUCAUGAUCGAUCGGACGCGCGUGCACCUUCUUAACGGUCCGGUUGCUUACCAUGCACGUCGCGAGGACUCCGGACUCCGUUCCUGACCGGGUGGAUGUUUUUCUUUCUCUCUCUUUCUCUUUCUGUGUGUGUGUGUGUGUGUAUCCAGGUUGCGGAGGAGCUCUUGCUUAUUAAACGCAGCGACGGACGGAGCGCUCGAGCCGUCCGUGAGACGGGUGACGUCACGGAAACGACGCGCCGGGGCGGGGAUUUUCUAUAGCGCGCGCGCGCACAUCUGUCCGCCAAUGUGGGUCGACGUACGCGGGCGCCCUCGCGUUUCUACCGCGUGCCACACGUCCAAAAGCGCAGAGAACUCUGGUCCGAAAUCCUCCUACGAUGCAUGACUCCAGAAGUUCCUACAUUACCCACAAUGCCGUUCUACUCUGCAUGGUGAGAGUGGCGCAGUGCCUUUGUCUGAGCUCUAAAGAGAUCGAUGCAGCAGCGCUUUAGUCCUUUCGUCUGUCCGGCUCUCUCACCGCCUGAUCUCCACACUCUGCUCUUAGCUGCAUUACUACAAACUACAGUGGAUCUAGGAAAAAGAAGUUUCGCCAAAAAUCAAAACUAGCCAGACGGAGUCGAUUCUACGCCAGGUUCACCUCAGGGGUCUGACAGGAAACCCCUCGAAAACGAAACCCAGAAAAAAUAAUUAUUUUCUACUUCUUUAAAAUAAACAAAUAAAAUAAACGAGACAGGCAGUAGUGUUUUUAUUCUCUCCUCUUUUUUUUAUUUAUAUAAAUAUAAAAAUAUA